rfam:Astyanax mexicanus chromosome 24, whole genome shotgun sequence.
GCUCCUGUUGGCGCAAUCGGUUAGCGCACGGUACUUAUACAGCAGUACUUGUGAAGGUAUGCCGAGGUUGUGAGUUCGAGCCUCACCAGAAGCA